UUAAGUUUAGUGGCGGACGGGUGAGUAACGCGUGAGUAACCUGCCUUUGAGAGGGGAAUAACUUCCCGAAAGGGAUGCUAAUACCGCAUGAAGCAUAUUUAUCGCAUGGUAGAUAUGCCAAAGAUUUAUCGCUCAAAGAUGGACUCGCGUCCGAUUAGCCAGUUGGCGGGGUAACGGCCCACCAAAGCGACGAUCGGUAGCCGGACUGAGAGGUUGAACGGCCACAUUGGGACUGAGACACGGCCCAGACUCCUACGGGAGGCAGCAGUGGGGGAUAUUGCGCAAUGGGGGAAACCCUGACGCAGCAACGCCGCGUGAAGGAUGAAGGUUUUCGGAUUGUAAACUUCUUUUAUUUAGGACGAAGAAUGACGGUACUAAAUGAAUAAGCUCCGGCUAACUACGUGCCAGCAGCCGCGGUAAUACGUAGGGAGCAAGCGUUAUCCGGAUUUACUGGGUGUAAAGGGUGCGUAGGCGGCUUGGUAAGUCAGAUGUGAAAUGUAUGGGCUCAACCCAUGCACUGCAUUUGAAACUAUUGAGCUUGAGUGAAGUAGAGGUAGGCGGAAUUCCCUGUGUAGCGGUGAAAUGCGUAGAGAUAGGGAGGAACACCAGUGGCGAAGG
rnacentral:rRNA from 1 species